CAGAUCUCCGUCAAGUGCAUUAACCAGUUCGAGUUGGAAGUGCCUCUUCUGGAUGCAGAAAACAAAGUCAUGGCCAAUGGAGCCAGGACCCAGGGCCAGCUGAAGGUGCUGAGUGCCAGCCUCUGGUCACCAUACUUGAUGCACGAAUGCUCCACCUAUCUGUACUCGUUGGAGGUGAAGAUGUAGGUUUUGAUGAGAUGCAGCCAACAGCCAAAUCUGAUGGAAAAGGAAAGGCAUUCGUCUUGGUUAGAAGAGGGCAG